GGCGAUAUGGCCGAGUUGGUUAAGGCGCCAGAAUCAGGAUCUGGUUCGAAAGAGCGUGGGUUCAAAUCCCACUGUCGUCA
rfam:Lobosporangium transversale strain NRRL 3116 BCR41scaffold_4, whole genome shotgun sequence.